GGAAGGGGAAAUGAAUGCAUUUGUCAACAUACCACAGAGCUGUAUAUAGGCAGGGUUAUAUCCCUGCUGGCAAUCUCCCAUAUGGGAGAUUCCUAAGCUCCCAGGAAGGCUAAAAGUUUCAUUUAAGAACAGGUGGCAGCAGAGAUCAGGGCUGGAUGGAAUCUGCAGGAUCACUGAAUCCAGUGCCCAUCGACUGCAACACAGACUUCAAUCAAAGGGCCAUUUUUCAUGCCAGGAAAAGACCAAUUGUGAUACUUCUAAUGCAGCAGAGGAAAAAUUAGGAGAAAUUCAGAACAUUUCCAAUUCUUGCAGUCACAGGAUAUCCCAUGGAUGCUUCAAGAAACCCUAGAGUUCAUCAAGAAAAGAAGAAUCACAACAUCAUCUGAAGAAUGUAGAAUUUGUACGUCCAGUUUCCUAUUUUAUCAUUCACAGGCUCAUACACA